ACUCAGGAGUGCAGUGCUGUGUACAAUUAAUUGAUCACAGCCAGCUAAAGAUUUAUUUCUUCCUUCUCCACUCCCAUUGCUUCACUUGACUGGCCUUAA
ensembl:misc_RNA Y_RNA Y RNA